rnacentral:rRNA from 1 species
GAUGAACGCUGGCGGCGGGCCGAAGAAAGGAAAGUAGAGUGAACAGACGAGGAGCUUGCUCCUCUGACGUUAGCGGCGGACGGGUGAGUAACACGUGGAUAACCUACCUAUAAGACUGGGAUAACUUCGGGAAACCGGAGCUAAUACCGGAUAAUAUAUUGAACCGCAUGGUUCAAUAGUGAAAGACGGUUUUGCUGUCACUUAUAGAUGGAUCCGCGCCGCAUUAGCUAGUUGGUAAGGUAACGGCUUACCAAGGCAACGAUGCGUAGCCGACCUGAGAGGGUGAUCGGCCACACUGGAACUGAGACACGGUCCAGACUCCUACGGGAGGCAGCAGUAGGGAAUCUUCCGCAAUGGGCGAAAGCUUGACGGAGCAACGCCGCGUGAGUGAUGAAGGUCUUCGGAUCGUAAAACUCUGUUAUUAGGGAAGAACAAAUGUGUAAGUAACUAUGCACGUCUUGACGGUACCUAAUCAGAAAGCCACGGCUAACUACGUU